rnacentral:tRNA from 1 species
AAAGAUUUAGUUUAAUUAAAACCUUAACUUGUCAAGUUAAAAUUAUCUAUGUGAGGGGUAAUCUUUA